GGUACAGCUAUGUAUAAUGAAGUGCAUGUUUUUGUUAGUUAAUUGCAUUUCUCCAAUUGUCUGUUAAUAUGGCUUAGUUAUUGCUCACCUGGUUUGAUUUUUGAAUCCUUGGGCCUAUGCGCCCUCUUGGGCAUAUGUUGUUAAGCACUUACCAAAUAUAACAUAUUCACUCCUUCAGUAGGUUGUUGUAAUUUCUUUAUUUGUUACCGUGAUUACUCAUAUCCUCCGGCCCCUGACUUUGCUUCAGUUUAAAGAACCGGCCUCAGCUCCAAACUAAUUGAAGAGCCCUGAUGUAUACCGUACCACCACAUAAACCAAAAGAACCCUGUAGACAGAAAUGAGAGGCCAGAUAUGGGAUUAUUGUAGACUGUGCUUUAUUAUUGGGCUAAGCGGAGACGCAUCAUUCAGUAAAAUUACAAAAAGAGUCCAAGGACCACAGAAAUGCACUGAUUGGAGAAACGGCAGGAGCAGCAAAGCGCUCUGACCAAUCAAAGUCCUGUACCAAUUAUGAUUAACCAAUCUCACGCCAAGCCUCACCAUGAUUGACAGGCUGGCACUCCACACACAACACUCUGCCCUCCUCCACUGUGCUGAGAGAAAAAAGAUUGUUUCUGUGUAAAUUUGUUUUAGUUGCUCAUCAACCUACAUGUAUUUAUGUUUCAAUCCUGUAUGUCAGACCAGUGGCUUGUUUGAAAUCAGAAGUAAGAUUAGCAGAAAAAUAUGAUAGAGCAAAUUCUGCAAUUUUUGAAAGGUGAAUUGCAGGCUUUCUAUUUUUUUUUCUUUUUUUUCAUGAUAGGAGCGGAGCGAUGUGUGUGGAAAAGAAAAUGGACGGCACAUUUCUGAUCGACACAGAGACAGUAGAACAGCAGAGUAGAGCAGAACGUUACUGUAGAACGUUAUGAAGAACAACAUUAUGUGGGCGUGUGGAACGUCCCCCAGUAAAAUGAUGACCCUGCCUCUGACCAAUGCCUGUUUCAUAAUAUAAAACAUCUUCAAAAAUAUAUUUUCCCAAAAAAAUGGCUUCCUCUUCAAAGCACAAACUCAUAACCUCGUUAAAAAUGCAAUCUGUAAUAAAUAAUGAAAUAAAUAAAACAUACAUACACAUACAUUCACACAUACGUACGCAUUCGCCCCAGGCAGAAAUAAAUAAAUUAACAUGUGAAAAAAAAAUACAACCGUAGAAAUUAAACAGAAAUCAACAGAGCAUGUAGGCAUAACUGGUUUCUCAACGCAUACGAACGCAUGUUAAGUAUUUCCAUCUGAUUGAACUGGGUGCUCUCCCCAUCUGCACACUCUAUUUGCCCCUCCCACCCCCACCCCCACGUCACAAUCCUGUGGCCUCAAUGUUCCCCUGCUUUCAUUAAGAGAUUUCAAUUUUUUUUUAUGGUAUUACCUUUUUUUUUUAUUAGUCUUAUUUCAGUAUUUAAAGUGAUUCAUUUUCAUCCAGUCCUCAUAGAUAGAAGAAAAAAGUCCUAUAAAAUAUGCAAACCUAUGUACAGAGGAAAAGAGAGCCCCAAAAAAGAAACAUUUACAGUAUAUUCAUCAGUUUAUGUAUAUAUUUAUAUAUUUAUAUUUAUAAUAAAUCCUCAUCUGGCUUCUUGGUUGCCUGUUAACCAUUAUAUUUCUCUGGACUGUUUAUGCAAACAGUUGCAGCAUUACUGAUGGAGGUGGUUUGAUAGCAGAAAGGGAAAGCAAAAGAGAAGAGAAGAGAAGAUGUGAGGCGUGUUUGAGUAGAGGACUUAAGGAGCAUGUCUCAUGAUUUAGGCCACAGCCAUGCAUGUCUCAUGAUGUAGGCUACAGCCAUGCAUGUCUCAUGAUGUAGGCCACAGCCAUGCGAGGGCUGCAUUCCGCUGUUGCUAUGCCAUCAAAGGCUGUUCUAUUUGGAAUCCUUUCAAAAACAGCAGCGGAAUGCAGCCUUCAUUGUAAGGAAAGUCAAGAAUGCAACUGGUAUGUCCUUCCAUUCCUUCAGUUGCCUAAAAUUGGCUAGAAUUGACAUCAUGUACAGUAUAUGCCCUGUUUACCACAAAUAUUCAUCUUCCAAAAUGUACGUUUUUUUUUAGUUAGUUGUUGUUUUUGUCUUUAAAUAAUCAUUAAUUCAACCCAUUAGCCAGCAAGUGUGGCCUAAUGUAAGUUGUACUGAAGUUGUUUUCUGUUAUUUAUAAGUUGAAAGUUAAGGUUUUGGAGGGAAAUGGGAAAUCCCACAUGAUGUAAUAUGACCAAACCAACUCAUGUGGGGUCUUAAAUUUAGCAUAAACUAUAUCUAUAACAAUGAUACUACACAUUUGCACAUGACAAUACUGUGGCUGCAACCCACCACAUGAGACAUGCUUGCUAUAAGAACUUGAGUAUGAUUUCAGCAGUGAUACUGAGAGGCAGAAUUAAAACAGAGAAUACUGUCAGAGACAGGCCUGAAAGUCAAAACAAAGGAAAUAAAAGAUAUUGAUCCUGUCAUAGUUGUGAGGUAUGAAUGAUUUGUGAGACAUUCUUGGAGGUGAUCUCUGCAAUGUCACUCUGGCAGGAAAGUGUGAAACAGGAAGUGCAAGAUAAAGCCAAUGAGAGGGGUUGAUAAUAUGCAGGUGCUUAAAAACCUCUCACCAUCCUGUUCUUCCACUAUCUAGAGUAUCGUUUGCAGGACUUUCAAACACCUCCCUUUUUCUUGGUAACUGCGGAAGCAAUCAGCCAUGCAACACCUGCAAACCUCCUGGGUCCACCUAAGCCAUUCGUCAGGCAAUGCUCAGCGAUCAGUGAAAGUCAAAAUUCGAAUCCACAUGACCCCCCCCCCCCCCCCCCCCUAUCAAUACACCCUUCCUCUGAUUUCAUGCUGUGGAACUUCCCAUAGACCCAAGCACAUAGCUUCAACUACUUCCUCAUUCUGAGCUAUGUGCUAAUUUAGCGUCAAGCUAAUCCGGUGAUGAGCAGUUGGCUCCCUCUCUGGGUGGCUCCUGUAAACAUACUGCUUGGGUGGAGUCUGUUGUUGUAAAUACUUUUUGUGAGCAGAAAACGGAACUUAAUGCCCUGUUCGUGUUCAGUGUCACCAUAGACCUAUGUGACAGCUAAAAAAAGGCUCAAGGCUUUGAGUGCCAGGCGAGAGAAUAUCCUACAUUAGAUGCUAGCUAACUAUUAGGCUUAAUCGUUUUUUUUUUUUGUGUGUUUUUUUUUUGUCUUUAUUUUUAAUUUUUUUGCAGCUCUGUUUGGACUAGAUUGUUGCCGUAGCGGGCUUGACAUCAAGUUAACGGAAGCUGCGUGUGACGCUAACGAACACAGUGUUUGCAUGUCACGUUAUCAGGCCUACAGUCUUAGCGCACCCAGGAGAGACCCAAAUGAUAACCAUCACGUCUGACUUCCCGCUUUUACAAGAGCACUGGUCGUGAGUUUGUGUGUUUGUAUGUAUACUGUAUGCAUGUGUGUUUGACACCCUGUGUGUAUGUUUUUUUUUGGUGUGUGUAUGUGUGUGCAUGUGUUCACUGUGUGUACGUCAAGUCUACUUGGCAAAAGAGGCAGAUAUGCUUAGGAUAUUGUGUAAAGUCUUUUCUCUCGAAAGGAAAGAAGUCGAAAAAGGAGAAAUAUCCUGAUUCUCGAGCCUGACUCUCUUCAAGUCUUCUUAAUAAGAAGAGGCCUUUUUGCGAUUUUUUUUCUUUGAAGUAGCAUAUACAGUUAUAUACAUAUACAGUAAUAAUAUACACACUUGUCCCGUGUGCGUUGGCAUAUAUGUUGUCAUCAGAGAGAGGAAUGCCUGCUGAGUGGGAGCUGCCAGGUGUGUGACUCUUCCCAGGGUUAAGACCAAGCAGAGCAGUGCUUCAGACUCCAGCUAAAAUCUACAAAAAAGUACAGCUCUACCUAAUCGAAUAGCCGUUUUUCUAGAUAUAUACACACAUAUAUAAAAUAUAUGCAUAUAAAUACAUAUAUGGGUUUCAGGAUUAAUAUCCAUGUAUCCAUAUAUAUAUGUGUGUUAUCGUACACGUCAGUAUAUAUAUGAAUACAUUUUUUAGCUUGAAUGUUUUCGCUAUACAUAUAUAUCUAUAUGUACUGUAAAUAUAAAGGAGUUUGUAUAUUUCAAACCGUUUAGCGGUGGUUUCUUAACUACAAGGUUAGGAUGUGCAGAUAUAAAAGGUAAGGCUGCGACAGCAACAACCCUCCCCAUGCACCCCCGCCUCCUGGACAGGAGGAGGAACAAACAAACCAAAAAAAAUCAAGAGAAAAAAAUAAAUACUUUUUCAUUUUUGUAGCAGUAAGUUGUAAACUAGCGAAGUGAGUGACCCACCACAGGGUCAUCUGAAAUAGUUUUGCCAGUAUUCAAAAGCAUAUCAGCAAUAUAUAUAUAUGUAUGUUUUAUACAUAUAUUUAUAGAGAGUCUACUUAUACAUUUUUUUUUCUUUAAAUACAACUCUUUGAACUGAUUGGCACAGCGAAAGAGAUGCAGUGGUCCGACAUAUGUUACAGCUAUGAGUCUUUUAGCAGUAAAAAGGCUUGGUCUUUUGGUCCCUAAACAACUAAGGAAUGACAGGUAAGUCUCCCAGGGGGACUGUUGCUGUUGCUCUGGCAACCGUGGCCCCUGGAAACAGACAGGCACUCCAAGAUAAAGAUGGCCAUCCCAGAAAAACGAAACAAAGUUUGUGUCCUGAAUCGUCACCUCCUUCAAAAUGUUCCCUCUUUCUCCAAAAAGUUUCUCAUUUUUUCUCAUUGUCUUCAACUUCUUCUAAAAUUGUUAAAAAGAGUUUUUUUUUUCUCCUCACAAAGACAAACCCCAAGAGUAAAAGUCUAUAUCAGUUUUCUUAAAAGUUCAUUUGUUUCUUUUUGCUUUCUUUUUUCAUUUCUUCAUUAAUUUAUCUAGUUAUUUUUUAAGUAAUAAUUCCAUAUGGUCCUAUGAGAUGGGUCUUCUCCAGGCAGAUGGUGACAGAUAGGGAAGGUCCUGGCGAGACCCAAAGCAUCCUGGUUCUUGGGGGGUGGGGGGUGGGGAGGGGAGGGGAGGGGUUGGGGGUGUUAGUGGAGUGUGUCCCAGCUGUGGAGUCCUCUCUGGGGGCUGGCUCUCCAUCAUCCACGGUCAGCCCAUCUCCAUCUGAAGCUCAACUCCCCAGCACAAUCUGGUCCUUUUUUUUUUGUUUGUUUGUUUUCUUUUGAUGUCAACGACGUUUUUGUCAUGUUGUCAACGUGUGGUCCAGCUCUACAAAAACCUGAAAGACAGUCAAUCUGUCAGUCACUCAGUCUGUCAUUACAUCAAUCAAACACAGGCAUGUAUGGCUUUCUGAAUCCCCAGGAGUCUGGGGCUAGAUUUCGGCAUUUUGGUGACACAUGUAGGUUCCACAAAAAUGAAAAGUCACUUGUCUAAACGUCUUUUAAAAACUGUAGUUCUACUCAGUACGUUUUUGGCGGUUUUUCUCUUCUCUUCAGGCCCUACCUGCACCCCCUGCUCAGUUUUGUGAGCGCUGUUGUUGACAUUUAUCGAGUGCUGUCGUCGUCAGGUGCCAAAACAGAAAGGCGUCCCCUGGACGCCUCAGUGAGGGUGUAACAGCGCGAUAACUCGGCCAAGUUAAGGGCA
ensembl:lncRNA